GGUCGAUUAGCUCAGUUGGUUAGAGCGCCGUACUAAUAACUCUCGAAGUUGACAUGCGGAUGUCAUGGGUUCGACCCCCAUAUUGACCA
rfam:Puccinia graminis f. sp. tritici CRL 75-36-700-3 supercont2.57 genomic scaffold, whole genome shotgun sequence.